UGAAUGGGGACAAGAGGGUGAAUAGGGACAGAAACUGGGAAAAACUAUAUUUAUAAUAUAUUUUGCUUAAACUAAUGAGUAUUAAAUUUCUAUAUAGUAGACUACGUUAAAAAAUUGUUUGUUUAUCUAAAAUAGCAAGUGCAAUUGUAUUCUGUAGCUUUUAUUUCAUGUUGGCAGCCCUAGUUAACAGCUGUUGAAUUGGGAGGCCAUAUUGUGCCAUCACAAAUGUUGUUUGCUACAAGCUUAUUUCAGCUUCUAUGUUUUCUUGAAGUAAAUGUCAGCUUUUAGUGUAGUCUGUGAUUAAAAUGCCUAGAAAAUACAAAAGGGAUCCUCGUUCAAAAGAGCAUCGUCCUAUAGACAGGAAAAAGGUGAAUCUGGCAGUGCAAGCAGUUAAAAUGGCAUGACUAUUAGGAAGGCUGAAGAAAAAUUUGGAGUUUCAAAGUCUGCCCUGCAUCGUUAUUUGAAGCAGUUUAGAGACAAUGAAGGUAAACAUAUUGAUUUCAAGAGUAAGCGUGGUCAGACUUUGCUCCCUUCAGAUUUUGAGAAGGAUAUUGUUGAGUGCCUCCAAACGUGUGCUGGAUGGGGAUAUCCUCUAAGUGAGUUCGACUUAUGCUGUUUUGUCAAAUACCACUCAGACAGAGAGGGCAAGACCAUAGCAAAAUUCAAAAACAACAUGCCUGGCUAUGAGUGGGCACUUCGCUUUUUAACUCGACACAAAACUGACCUCUCUCAAAGAUUAUGUCAAAACAUUAAAAGGAGCAGAGAAGAAGUCUCACCUGUAUCAAUAAGUUCUUUGAUGAACUAGAAGCGACUACAGAUGGCAUACGAUCACAUUUAAUAAUUAAUUAUGAUGAGACAGCACUCUCUGACGACCCAGGCCGAUGGAAACUCAUUUUCAAAAGAGGCUGCAAGUACCCCGAACGAGUAAUGAAUCGGAGUAAAGCAAGUGUAUCUGUCAUGUUUGCUGCAACUGCUUCAUGUUUGCUGCAACUGCUUCUGGGAAGAUGUUGUCUCCAUAUGUGAUUUACAAGUCCACAUAUUUGUACGAUUUGUGGAGUGAAGGUGGACCUCCUGGAACCUUUUACAAUCGUAGUAAGUCCGGUUGGAUGGAUGGCAACUGCUUUCUCGACUGGUUCAAACGAGUUAUCAUCCCAUACUGUCGUCGAUUCGAAGGAAAGAAACUUCUCAUAGGUGACAACUUAAGCUCAGACUUAUCUCCUACAGUAGUCAGAUUAUGCGAGGAAAAUUAAAUCUUGUUUGUUUUCCUUCCUCCAAACUCGACACAUCUGACACAGCCUUUGGAUGUCAGUCUAUUCAGGCCUCUCAAGAUGAGCUGGAGAAAAGUUAUAGAAGAAACUAAGGCCAAGGCUCAAGGAAAACACAAGCCAUUUGAUAAGAAAUAUUUCCCUUCCCUCCUGAAAAAGACCAUGAAUUUGAUGGAUAGGGAACUUGAACAUAACAUCCAGGCUGGAUUUGCUAAGGCAGGCAUUUUUCCUCUCAACAGGAAAAGGGUGCUCGACAAGCUACCUGCUUGACAUAAUAAGGAUGAACAAAAAGAACAGACUGUAGACAGCAGCCUAACAGAAUUCCUAAAAACUAUGAGGUAUGGAACUUCUGAUGAAGAAGUAACAAGGGGCAGAAAAAAGAGACUAAAUGUCCCUGCAGGGCGUAGUGUGACAGUUGCAGAUUUAGAGGGAUCUGAUACAAAUGAUUCUGAAUCAGAACAUGUGAUGUCAGAACAUGAUGAAUUGGUUUUAAAUAGACACGCAUCCAGUGAAUGUGAGAUACCUAACGGCAAGGAAGGAGAAAAAGAUCCAACAGAAGGGGACUGGGUAAAAGUCAGAUUUGCAUACGAUCGGGGCAUCAAGAUUUUCAUAGGAAGGAUAGUGAAGAAAUUUGAGACGGAUGAGCACCGGUACAUUGGAACAUUUCUGCGGCAAUCAACCAAGUGCUCAAACAUACCUAUUUGUUUUUCCCAAUGUGCCAGAUGAAAGUGACUUCUCAAAGAAUGACAUUUUAGCUGUCCUGAAUGAACCAACUGUGCGCAGGGGACAUUACUCAUUCACUCCAAAUCCACUUUCGACUUGAACUCAGUGUAAAUUUGAGAGCAGUUUCAUGAUUCUUAUAAUUAUUGACAUGUGUUCCAAAUAUUAUUAGUGUGCAUUGAUCAUUGCUAUAAAGAUUUUUUAAGCAGAACAAUAUUGUCAACAUUUCAUUAGGAGCCUCCUUUCAUUAAAUAAAAUAGAAAAUACCAUGUAAAAUUAAAUAAUUACUAUUUCCUUAUUUGGUAGUACAAAUGUAAAUGUCUGCUUGAUGCUUUGUAAAUUAUGUCCCUAUAUACCCCUGUGAUUUAAAAAUAGGGACUACCAUUAAUGAUACACUAUUGUCCCUAUUAACCCCGACAUUGGGGUGAAUAGGGACACCAAUAAAAAAAUUAAUAUAUGUUAAAUGACCGCAGGUAUCAAACUUUAAUAACAGGCUAUGAAUAGCUUAAGGGGAGUGCAAGAAGGAAAAAAAACUGUCUGUUCACAAAAAAAUUACAUUUAAAAGUUACUUGUAAAAACAAUUAAAAA